rnacentral:rRNA from 1 species
UACGGAAGGGGCGAGCGUUGUUCGGAAUCAUUGGGCGUAAAGGGCGCGUAGGUGGUGCUGUAUGUCUCCCGUGAAAGUCCACGGCUCAACUGUGGGGUGUCGGGAGAAACUGCAGGACUUGAGGCUGGGAGGGGCUGGUGGAAUUCCCUGUGUAGCGGUGAAAUGCGUAGAGAUGGGGGAGAACACUCGUGGCGAAGGCGGCCAGCUAGACCAGUUCUGACACUGAGGCGCGACAGCGUGGGGAGCAAACAGGAUUAGAUACCCUUGUAGUCC